AGUGAACGCUGGCGGUAGGCCUAACACAUGCAAGUCGAACGGCAGCACAGUAAGAGCUUGCUCUUACGGGUGGCGAGUGGCGGACGGGUGAGGAAUACAUCGGAAUCUACUUUUUCGUGGGGGAUAACGUAGGGAAACUUACGCUAAUACAGCAUACGACCUACGGGUGAAAGCAGGGGAACUUUGGACCUUUCGCGAAUGAAUGAGCCGAUGUCGGGUUAGCUAGUUGGGGGGGUAAAGGCCCACCAAGGCGACGGUCCGUAGCAGGGCUGAGAGGAUGAGCAGCCCUGAUGGGAUGAAGGGACAGACCAGACUCGAGCGAGAGGCAGCAGUGGUGAAUGUUGGACAAGGGGCGAAUGCCGGAUCCAGCCAUGCCGCGUGGUGGAGGAAGGCCGUGGGGUGGUAAACCCCUUUUGUUGGGAAAAAAAAGCAGCAGUUUGAUGCCCCGCUGUUCACACGGAACCCAAAAAAUAAGCACCGUCAAUCUGCG
rnacentral:rRNA from 1 species